rnacentral:rRNA from 1 species
CUUUUUCUUUUUCGUUUAGCGGGUGUCGGCGGAGGGGUUUCAGCCGUAGGUAGCCUGGGCCUAGGCUGCCGGCUCUUCUUUGGGAUCGCGGGUAGCGACAGGUAUAUAUCCCGGUAAGGAGAGCGGGCUUGGGGAGGAGAGUCACGGGGGUAGGGGCGGCGGCGGAGGAGAGCCAAGGAAGAGGAAGGAGCCUCGAGGUCGGUACCCAUUCCUCUUCUGAGUGUAGUUGUAGCACCAGUAACCGGUACAGCUGAGACCGUUCAGCUGUUGGUGACCGGUAGACUAGAUGUUCGAACCUCCAUAACUGUUCGCACACUAGCUCUCCAAACUCUUCCUUCGGCGACUCUACUUGUUCUCCAGAAAGUUCAUGCGGACCCACGAACUGUUCGACUUCCGGCUCGCACUCUCCCCAUAGUGGUAACUAUAACGGGACACCUUCAAGCUCUGGUGGUUCAUGAUGACGUGGCAGUAACUACGGGGACCAGUGGCACUGAAGUAGUUCUUGUACUAAUGACCAUGGAGGGUCCGACUGACACGACACGAGUAGUAACUGAGGUGGUGACCACCAAAACUCCGACCAUAGAGGUUCCUACCGGUCUGGGCACUCGUGCGGGAGGAACGAAAGUGGGAACCUCACUUCGUCUACUAGACGACGACGUUGUUCUACCUGCGGUGGUGAGGGUUCAUGAGUUUCCGGGCAAUACUCCUUUAACAGUUCCUUCAGAGAAGCAUGGACUUCUUCCAGCCGAUGUUGGGACUGUUCCAAGGGAAGCAAGGGUAGAGACCCAAACUCCCACUGUUGUACUAACUCUCCAGGUGGUUGGAACUGACCAUGUUCCCGGGAUGGGAAGAACUCCGAGAACUGGUCUAGUUACUCGGGUUCUCCGGGAGUCUGUUCGGGGACGCAGAAGGGGAAGUCCUACAAAUGUUCUAACCACCGUAACCUUGACACGGACAACCGGCACAACUCUGACCACAGUAGUUCGGACCAUACCAACAAUGGAAACCAGGGUGACCAGACUGUUGACUCCAAUUCAGACAACUCUACGUGGUACUCAGAGAGGACCUCCGCGAAGGACCACUGUUGCAACCGAAGUUGCAGUUCUUGCAACGACACUUCCUAGACUUCGCACCCAAACAACGUAGGUUGAGGUUCCUACUGGGACGGUUCCUCCGCCGGUUGAAGUGGAGGGUCCAGUAGUAGUACUUGGUGGGACCAGUCUAGCCGUUACCGAUGCGGGGUCACGACCUGACGGUGUGGAGGGUGUAACGACAGUUCAAACGACUCGACCACUGGUUCUAGCUGUCCGCUAGACCAUUCCUCGACCUCCGCGACGGGUUCAAGGACUUCUUGCCACUGCGACCAUAGCAGUUCUACUAAGGGUGGUUCGGGUACCAACACCUCUGGAAGCGGUGGAUGGGAGGAGAACCGGCGAAGCGACACGCACUGUACUCUGUUUGCCAACGACAACCACAGUAGUUCCCGCACCUCUUCUUCCUGGGGUGGCCGCGGUUCCAAUGGUUCCGACGGUAGUUCUUCUUUAUCCGCACGAUAGAUCGUCUUACAAAAACAAGUGCCAGUAACGAAAACAACGAAGUCUGAGAAUAGGGCUCGCUCGUUACUAGACAGACAGCAAAUUAAUGACAUAAAGAUAAGGACGCAGCCGAUUUGAGGACACGGGGACUCUGACUAAACAACACUUUACGUUCAAUAAUCUAACGUUGAACAAUCGAACAAAAAGACGACGAAAACGGUUUACCAACGGACAAAUU